rnacentral:rRNA from 1 species
CAGUCGCCGCGGUAAGACAGAAGAUGCAAGCGUUAUCCGGAAUGAUUGGGCGUAAAGCGUCUGUAGGUGGCUUUUCAAGUCCACCGUCAAAUCCCAGGGCUCAACCCUGGACAGGCGGUGGAAACUACCAAGCUAGAGUACGGUUGGGGCAGAGGGAAUUUCCGGUGGAGCGGUGAAAUGCGUUGAGAUCGGAAAGAACACCAGUGGCGAAGGCGGCUUACUGGCUCGAAACUGACGCUGAGGCACAAAAGCGUGGGGAGCAAACAGGAUUAGAUACCCGUGUAGUCCCUGUCUCUUAUAC